AGAGUUGAUCCUGGCUUAGGACGAACGCUGGCGGCGUGCCUAACACAUGCAAGUCGAGCGAGGAGAUCCUCGGGAUGAUCCUAGCGGCGGACGGGUGAGUAACACGUGGGCAACCUGCCUCAUAGAGAGGAAUAGCCUUCCGAAAGGGAGAUUAAUACCUCAUAACAUUGCAGUUUCGCAUGGAACAGCAAUUAAAGGAGUAAUCCGCUAUGAGAUGGGGCCCGCGGCGCAUUAGCUAGUUGGUGAGGUAACGGCUCACCAAGGCGACGAUGCGUAGCCGACCUGAGAGGGUGAUCGGCCACAUUGGGACUGAGACACGGCCCAGACUCCUACGGGAGGCAGCAGUGGGGAAUAUUGCACAAUGGGGGAAACCCUGAUGCAAGCAACGCCGCGUGAGUGAUGACGGCCUUCGGGUUGUAAAGCUCUGUCUUCAGGGACGAUAAUGACGGUACCUGAGGAGGAAGCCACGGCUAACUACGUGCCAGCAGCCGC
rnacentral:rRNA from 1 species